GCCGGGGUGGCGGAAUUGGUAGACGCGCCUGACUUAGGAUCAGGUGUCUUUUGAUGUGCAGGUUCGAGUCCUGUCCCCGGUA
rnacentral:tRNA from 1 species